GGAUGGAGGGCGAUCUGGCUAUGACAUCUGCCCCCCCCCCGUGAUCGCCAGAGUUGAUACGGCUGAUCUGGCUGGCUAGGCGGGUGUCCCUGUCCUCUCUCACGGCUCCACGUGUCCCCCUCCCAAAGGUGUGCACUCUGUUGAAGAGGAUGACCACCCCCGAUAGAGGCAGACCGUUUCCUCAGUCAAGGGUAGCUGCGCUCCCCUGCUAAUAAACAUAAAUUGAAAUUAUUCCAUUCUUAAAUGCAAUGACUUAGUAGUAUGAUGUAUAUUUCUCCUGAGAACAUAU
rnacentral:snRNA from 1 species